GCUCCUAGCUUGACUACUGGACUAAUCUAUAUAAACAUAGAAGCAACACUGUUAAUAUGAGUAACAAGAAGUUUUUCUCCUGGCACAAGCUUACAUUAGUAACUGAUAACAUACUAAUAAUUAACAGCAAAUAAACAAAACCCAACACUAAGUUAUUUAUUAAGACACUGUUAACCCAACACAGGUGUGCAUUAAGGAAAGAUUAAAAAAAGUAAAAGGAACUCGGCAAACACAAACCCCGCCUGUUUACCAAAAACAUCACCUCUAGCAUAAUCAGUAUUAGAGGCACUGCCUGCCCAGUGACAAAUCGUUAAACGGCCGCGGUAUCCUGACCGUGCAAAGGUAGCAUAAUCACUUGUUCUCUAAUUAAGGACUUGUAUGAAUGGCCACACGAGGGUUUUACUGUCUCUUACUUUUAAUCGGUGAAAUUGACUCCCCCGUGAAGAGGCGGGGAUAACAAAAUAAGACGAGAAGACCCUAUGGAGCUUCAAUUAAUCAACCCAAAAAUCACAACCUUAAACCACCAAGGGAUAACAAAAUUUUAUAUGGGCUGACAAUUUCGGUUGGGGUGACCUCGGAGCACAAAAAACCCUCCGAGUGAUUUAAACUUAGGCCCACUAGCCAAAGUAUAAUAUCACUUAUUGAUCCAAUCCUUUGAUCAACGGAACAAGUUACCCUAGGGAUAACAGCGCAAUCUUAUUCUAGAGUUCAUAUCGACAAUAGGGUUUACGACCUCGAUGUUGGAUCAGGACAUCCUAAUGGUGCAGCUGCU
rnacentral:rRNA from 1 species